GGCUCGGUAGCUCAACGGAUAGAGCAGCUCCGUCCUAAGGAGAAGGUUGUGAGUUCGACUCUCGCCCGGGCUACCA
rnacentral:tRNA from 1 species